UACGUAGGGGGCAAGCGUUGUCCGGAAUCAUUGGGCGUAAAGAGCGCGUAGGCGGCCCUGUAAGUCCGCUGUGAAAGUCAAGGGCUCAACCCUUGAAUGCCGGUGGAUACUGCAGGGCUAGAGUCCGGAAGAGGCGAGUGGAAUUCCUGGUGUAGCGGUGAAAUGCGCAGAUAUCAGGAGGAACACCGAUGGCGAAGGCAGCUCGCUGGGCCGGUACUGACGCUGAGGCGCGAAGGCGUGGGGAGCGAACGGG
rnacentral:rRNA from 1 species